UCUAAAAUCACCACCUCCUCUCCCUCCAGGUGGAAGCAGCUCACUUGGGUUUCCCAUUAUAGGAUUUCUCCCCCACUGCUCCAGCACCUCAUCUCCCUGCUCUUACCCCCCAGCAUCCUACCUACUCCCAUCCACUCAUCCCACCUCCUCUGCCUGCAAGUCAGCCUGAGUCACGUGUCAGUGCCAGCGGCAAGAACAGAAACAGGAGCUGCUCCUUCCUUGUCUUACAGCCAUACUGUAUUUUACUGCUAAAAGCUCAUUUUUAUUCCAACAUUUUACUCCCGUUCGG